GUUUUGGGGAGUACAGACUGCUCACAGCUUCGGCCAUACAUCUGCAGCAAGCCCCAAGUGCCAAGGUGACAGAAGUGGCUGAGAAAGGACCUGCCCUAUGCCCCCUGACAGAGCCCACAGGCCCCAGGGACCCACGGCCGUGCUGGGGAGAGAAGGAGGUUUCCAUCGCGGCUGCUGUGGCCUCAAAAUCACCAGGUUUCCACCUAAAAUAUCCCAGAAGAGCGUGGCUGAGCGUGUGAAAUUGCUUCGCGGCCUCGGGAAAGGCUCCUGAAACUCUGCGAUUUCCACCCAAAACGGCGGCGCUGGGUCCCGCGGCAAGAGAUGUGAGGGGCAGGUCCUGAGGGGUUGCUUUGAAAACAGGUGAUCAGGAGUCUCCACCUUAUUUCAUAUGAAAUCUGACUAGUCCUCAGAGUCGACUGAGAAUGUCUUACACGUCUCAGAAAUUCACUGGAUCUUUUUGCAGCUGCCACCCAUUGGUACCUCAUAAUCAUUCUAUCGACCAGCUUGCUUCUCCAUUUCUUACAACUCCAAAUUAGAAGAGAGAUUCUUGUCAUUAGUCUGUCUUG